rnacentral:rRNA from 1 species
UACGAAGGGUGCAAGCGUUACUCGGAAUUACUGGGCGUAAAGCGUGCGUAGGUGGUUCGUUAAGUCUGAUGUGAAAGCCCUGGGCUCAACCUGGGAAUUGCAUUGGAUACUGGCGGGCUAGAGUACGGUAGAGGGUAGUGGAAUUCCUGGUGUAGCAGUGAAAUGCGUAGAGAUCAGGAGGAACAUCCGUGGCGAAGGCGGUGCUCUGGGCCGGUACUGACGCUGAGGAGCGAAAGCGUGGGUAGCAAACAGG